UCGUAUCCAAAGGGAUGCUGCUGGCUUUCACAGGCCGUGCACUCCCGCCUUUACAUCCACCUGUGCACUUGCUGUAGACUAGGAUUAACUUCCGAGUCUAUGUUUUCAUAUACACUUAAAGUCAAUGAAUGUAUUUAGGCUUCGGCCAAAAAAAAAAAAAGCAAUA
rnacentral:misc_RNA from 1 species